AAAUGAACAAUAUUUUCUACAAAAGAGUCAGUCUAAUUCCUUGCUAUAUCCUUCAGAAUAGAAUAACAAUUUGCUUUAAAUUUCAGUGAUUCCUAUUUUAGCUUUUGUAUUAAUUAGGUUGACUAACUGCUGUAAACCCAAAGAAGUCAAUGACUCCAACACAAUAGAAGGUUUUUUAUUUUUGUAGUAGAAGUUUAUUUUUUUUAACUGAAUAUUUCAAGUAUUUUUAGAUGGGAGAGAGGUUGCACUCUGCUUCAAGCAGUUCUUCAGGGAAGCAGACAAGUAGAAGAUCUGCCUUCUUAAAUCCCAGAUUUCCAUGGUUGCCCUGAGAGAGAAGCACAUUUAUAAAUAAAUACAAAUCCAUAUACAAAAACUAUAACAAAUCCAUAAAGAGACAAGUGAACAAAGAAAGAUAACACGGUGUAAGAUGACAGAGGGCCAAGACAAAGCAGAGAUGCCCAGUGGGGCUAAAAGUUUCUCAGCCUCAAGCUCAAGUGACAGUGAAGGAUAAAAUACUAACCUUGAGCCACACAAAUUUGAAUCAAAAGAUGGAUGAUGGAGGUCUGAAGGCACGGACAUUCUUGCCGUGAAGUUUCAGAGCAUCACAAAUUUUUCCUAGUUUCCUUUUCAUGGAAUAUUCUUCUGUCUUGGUUCCUUUGUCGUAUAUUGAGACCUCCAAAGGACAUUUGCUCCUUUCUGCAGUAACAGGACAAGACCAGGACUCUUCAGAAUCCAGUGAGGAGGAGACAACUCCAAAAGUCUUAAGAAGGGCAGUGAGAAGCAAGCAUGGCGAGAAGGGUUUCAGCAGUACUGACUUUUCAGAGCUGAGUAAUGGAGAAGAGCUUCAGGAAACCUGCAGCUCACCCCUAAGAAGUGGGUCAGGUAAAGAAGAUUAGGAUGCCAAGACUUGGCCUGCAGAAUGUCAGGAAUCUGAAUUAAAAGCUACUGUUUCCAGACCUUUUUUAUUCUGAGCACCUUGACUGCCUUGUAUCCAGUUCAUCUGGGAACUCCUUUUUGCAUUUUAGAAAAUGGAAGGAGGCAGGAAAUUAUGAUAAACUCAUGUUGAACAGGAUGAGUCUCACUGACUAAAUGUAUGUAAUUAUAUAUUGCUGUUGUAGACGAAAUAAAUAGCAAAUUUGUGGUAUCUUUUUUUAAAACCUGCUCUCAUUCCUAUUAACACUAAGAUCUUAGGUUUUUAUAGUAAUAAAUGGGUUGACAUCAACGUCAUUUGUAAUUGUAAAGCUGCAAAAGACAACUGCUCCUACUAUGUAAUUAUAGACAGAAAUAAAAACUUCAGAUCAAACACUCUCAAACUUUAGUAUAGUUUUUGACAGAUGUCCUUCAUCAUGUAAUUGGAUUAUAUUGUGUUAUUUCAAUAUAUUUUGGCAAAUAAGAUCUUAUUUUGUCAUCACAAAAUUUUUAAGACAUAGGCAGACUCUUACCAUACCCAUUUUGGGGUAAGGAAAUAGAUGUACAGA
rnacentral:lncRNA from 1 species